AAUAAAGACUGCCAGCCCCAUAAUACAAGAAGUUCAUGAAUCAUCGGGGAGGCAGAGGGACAGUUAGGAGGCUCUGGAGAGAGGCCAGCCAGGACUUGCCAAGGGUUGACCCAAGUUCCUUCAGAUGCAGCACUGCCCUGUUGCCACCUUGGUUUCAGAUUUCUGGUCCACAGAACUAAGAAAAUAAAUUAAUUUUCUUGUAAGCC